UCCAAGAUUAGGGAAGCUUUCGGGUGGGU
rnacentral:piRNA from 1 species